GGCGCCUAAUUCUCGCUGAACUGAUUCGAACACCAUUUUACAGAGACGAUCGGGAAUGGAAGAGGGAGGAAGUUGGUUGGCUGCAGCCUGACUGUACUGAGAGACACUGGAACAGCAUGCAAAACACACUUCCGAGAGGCCUGUGAGAAGAUGAACUCAUGGCAGGAGGACCAUCCUAACUGUGACCACCACCAUCCCAUUGGCUGGAAGCCUAGAUGGAACAAAGGGAGCAGCUCCUGACCUCUCUACAGACUGCAGAGCGACAAACCGAGAGGAGAAUGGCACCCUGACACCCUCCUCCCUGUCCCUGCCCCCUCCAAGACUUUCAGUUUCAAGGCAGAACACAACGUGGCCUAACUCUCCUGUCAGAGCUCAGCGGUCUUCGGGCUGAGGGGAUGGAUCUCUCUCACAGAGAAGGAACAUCCUGGAGCAGCUUUCUCGUGACAAGCAUCGAGUUAAAUGCCAAAUGUGUCAUCGCACUGACUCCUCGCCACCACCCCACAAGACACUCAGGAAGAGGAGCCUGGAGGACACAAGACUCAAUCAGUUGUCACUUUCCAACGACGGUGGCUGGUCUCAGAGGCACUCAAAGAAACUUCUGACUCUACUAAUAAAUGUUCGG